rnacentral:lncRNA from 1 species
UCUUCUAAUCAUUCAUUCUUUCAAUUCAUUCAUUCAUUUAUUCAACAAAUAUUUGUUGAGGGCCCACAACGUGACAAGCACUGUUUUAGGUACAGGGGAAACAUCUUUGAAUAAAACAGACCCAAAUUCCUGCCCACAUGGAGAAAGACUAUAAAUGAUAAGUUGAUAAAGUCAAUGUUUGAGGAGAUAAGUGCUAUGAAAAAUGGGGUGGGGGGAGCAGCCUGCUGGCACAGCAGUUAAGUUCUCACAUUCUGCUUCUGCAGCCUGGGGUUCACCAGUUCAGACUGUGGGUGCAGACCUACACACCGCUUGUCAAGCCAUGCUGUGGCAGGCGUCCCACUUAUAAAGUCGAGGAAGAUGGGCACAGAUGUUAGCUCAGGACUGAUCUUCCUCAAAAAAAAAAAAGGGAUGGGGGGAUGAGCAGGCAAGGGAUAUGGGGUGUGCUGGAGGAGUUGCAAACUGGGUAAUCAGGAAAGCAAAAUUCAGAAAAUGCCAUUCUAACAAAGUUUUGAAGAGGCGAGGGCUUAAGUCAUGUAGGCACCUGGGGGGAGAGCAUUCUAAACAGAGGGAACAGCCAGUGCAAAGGCCCUGAGGCAGGGAGCAUUCUUGCAGGUUCAAAGAACAGCAAGAAGUCCAGUGUGGUGGGAGUGCAUGAGCAAGAAGAAGUAGGAGAGGAGGGCAGAGGAGUAAAGAGGUUCGAAGAGCACGAGUUUAAGCAGAAACGGAAUUUAUUAUAGGAUAUUGGGGGGCUUCCAGCAUCUCUUGAGCAGCCUGAGGUUCAGGCUGAGAGGCUGUGCAGCAGGGACACAGCCUGAAUGUGCCACCACAGGGCAGGUCCAGGGAGUGAGAUGGUGGCCAGUGCUGAGCAGAGCCACCACGCAAAUGGGCUGGGCGCUCCCCUGGAUCCGCUGCUGCUGGUCCUGGCAUCUCCCGGCCUCCACCAGGCGCCACUGGCUCUCAAUCCGAGUCUGCUGCUGUGCCUCUGUCCGGCGGGCCGACACCCUGGUUCUGGGAAACAGUUUCUGGCUCCUCUGGGGAGUCAGGGACCCAGAAGGAGGGAAUUCUCCAAAGCUAAGAAGGGCCUUCAAAGACACUUGUCUCACUCCCGCGCUCUCCGAGACCCGGCCGGAAUCAGCGAGAAUCACGGCCCUCUCGCUUCCCAGUCGGCCAGCUGCACGGAGGCCAGUGGGCACAGCUCAGGCUGCUGGAUGAGAGCUGAACUUCUGUACUCGUAACAGUCAGACCCCUUGAGUGGAGGAUCCCAGUGCCUGGACUUGCCUGGAAACUGGAUCCUGAACUAGAUGGCCCAACUGAUGAGGUACCCUCUCCACUUUCCGUGUUCCUGCAGCGUUGCCAGAUUUCUGCCUAACAGCGGUGCCCUUUCUUCCAGUUUCCAAGGCAUUUUCCUUUAAAUCUUCACCAACAUCCCCCUGCUAAUUUGAUGCCCUUUGACCUCAGUCACUCUCUUCCAAGUCCUCCUGCUCUGCCCACUGCCCAGUUCCAAAGCCUCGCCCACAUUUGCAGGCUUGUGUUCCAGAGGCAACCCACGUCUGGUACCAGACUUGAUCUUAGUUAUCUGCUGCUGCGUAAUGAAUUAUCCCAAAUGUAGUGGCUUAAAACGGCAGGAAACAUUGAUACUUUCAGUUUCCAUGAGUCAGGAAUUCAGAUCAGCUGAGCCGGGAGGUCUGGCUCCAGCUCUCUCGUGAGGUUGAGCCAAGACAUCAGCAGGGGUGGCGGUCACCUGAGGGCUGGACAGGGCUGGAGGCCCCAUUCCCCGGCGGCUCACUGGGACGGUCAGCACGUCGGUGCUGGCUGUGGCAAAGGCCUUGCUUGCCCUUGCCUCGGGCCUCUGCACAGGGCUGCUCCAGCAACCUCGCACCAGGCACCUUUCCCUCAGAACAAGUGACCCAAGAGAAAGGGGGAAGUCACAGUGCCCUGUGACCUAGCCUGGGACGUCACACACCCUCCCUUCUGCAGUUUUCUGCGGUCACACUGACCGGCUCUGACUCAGUGUGAGAGUUGAG